AAAGGCUGCGGUAUUUUGACCGUACAAAGGUAGCAUAAUCAUUAGUUUUUUAAUUGAAAACUCGUAUGAAUGGUUCAACGAAAUAUAGACUGUUUCAUAAAAAUUUUAGUAGAAAUUAAUUUUUUAGUCAAAAAGCUAAAAUAAGAUUAAAAGACGAGAAGACCCUAUAGAGUUUUAUACUAAGUUUUUUAGGAUUUAUUUAUAAUAAUUAAAAUUUUAGGAUUCCUUGUAUUUUGUUGGGGUGACAAUAAAAUUUUAUAACCUUUUAUUUUUUAUUAAACAAUGAUUUUUGGUUAAUUGAUCCAUUAUUAGUGAUUACAAGAUUAAAUUACCUUAGGGAUAACAGCG
rnacentral:rRNA from 1 species